CAACAUAUUUUCCUCUCCUUCCUUUCAGCACUGACACAUCCCCCUCUCCUAUCUCUCUUCGAUUUUCCAUUCAUUGGCCAUCGCCACCUCCUCCUGCUGUCAUCGCCUCCUCGCCACCGUGUCUCCGGUUCUCUUUCUUUCUAUUUCAACAUCACGGGCAAGAGAGGGAGUUGCGAUUUUGAUCGACAGCUCAGUCUUCUCUCCCCGUCUUUCUGGCGACACUAGCUUCCUUCCUGCCGAUUGCAUAGCUCUAAUCUCUCUCUCUCUCUCUCUCUCUCUCUCUCUCUCUUCAUUUCUGGUUGGCACAACAAACGCAAGGAACUGCGGUCGCGCUUGGAUCGAGACAGUAGCGAUACAGCCCUGUUCCUUUGUUUUUCCGGCGAUGCCUGUCCGUAGCCAACAUUGUGAUCUGACCUUCUCACUUGCAGCUUCUCUGGCCACUAUCUCCUUCGCUUUCAAUCGAACUAGCGGCGGCAGUAACCGGUUUGGAGAAUAAAUGUAAUUGUCGAUUGUUUUAACGGGAAAUUCCAAUUUUUGACGCGAUCUACUGUUGAGAUGAAGUGAGUUACCAUUGGGUUUGCGAGGGUGGUCUACGAUACCGUCGACCAUGUAUAAGGAGAUCAGCGCUCCCGUGUGUAUAUUAUGAUAUCAAUGAUAUGGAAAAACCACAGGGUGGCCUCCUAUUGGUAAUGGAAAAGAAAAGAGAAACUGGAAAAACAAUGAGAAGGUUGGUUAAGUGAGAAUUAGACCGGUUGGCCAUUUAUUGGGGAUCGGCUCCCUGGUGCACAUGUCAUGAGAGGAUGGGCCAUGUCUGAUGAUGGCUCAUCGGGGUUUCGGUGAUGCCACAGACCAAUCUCUACGUGUUUCAUUAUAUGAUGAUGUACUUGUAUGUGAGUGCUGAUAUUGUACCAUAUGUUUGAUUGAGAAGUAGAUUCUUCUUUGUUUCGGCUAAAACUCUGUUUCCUUGGCUGCAGAGCUAAAAAAGAAAUUUCCCAGUUCUAGUAAGUAUUUAAAUUGUGAGCGUUAUAUACAAGAACUUAUUUAAUCCUUUUUGAUAUUAAACUCCACAAUUGUAGAAUUAUGGUAAUUCUAAUUUGGUGUAACUAUGGGUAUGUUAACUAAUUACUUAUGUGGGUGGUUUAGACAUCUGUAUAUAUGCAUGUAUGAACCAUUUGGCUCAUAUUAUGGGUAUUAUGUAUAAUUGGGUUCGAGUUAAGAAUUAUUAGAGAUGUUGAAAAUGAGUCAAGAUAUAACAUGAUUAUUUGUAUAUAAAGUAAUAUGGGCUUACGGUUCUUGAGAUCCAUUUUGAAGUGAUUAAGUUUAGUAGUUUAGGCUUACAAUGGGCCUUGAGGGUCUUAUGCUUACUUGGACCCUAGUGUCGGUCCGGCCAUGAUUUUGGAUCGUUACACCUAGAUACCUUCAAAUCAUGUAUAUAUCCCACACAUGGAUAUACCUUACCUUUUCAAAUACAAAAGACCUAGUAACUUUGUCAUAUUCUUACCGUAAAAUCCUAGCUUUCUAGAUAUCUUUCCUUUUUACUCUAAGACCCUUAUAUUCUUUAUCCUUGUUUUAAAGGAAACCAAGUCUGGGAGAAACUAGAAACAAUCAACCGAAUGCUCUCCAAGAGCAAUUUAGCUGCUGCAAUAGAGAAACAAGAGGAGACUUGUUUUCCCUUAUAGCAACCCAAGAGAGGGGAGAGUGAAUUGGAUUAAUUAUUAUUAUUAUUAUUAUUUUUUUUAGAAGAGCUUGGCAAAUGAAGAUGAAUUGGAAAUCAAGAAAAUUAAGAAGGAAUGAAGCUAUGGAGUUGUACUAUUUGAUUAGAAUAGAUGGUCAGUUUCCUUCUCUUAGUUCUUUGAAUGUUUACUAAGAUCUUUGGUUGAUUUUAAGCAAUUUGAUAAUGUUAUGAUUUGUUUUUGGAGAUAUAAGAAUCGUGUUUUAGGUUGGCGACCAUUAUGUAUGGAUUUCCCAUACAUAACAAGUGAGCUAUUGAUAAGGAUGGAGGGAAUUUGAUGCAUCAAAUGUCAUUGAAUUGUUUUCUGUUAGAGAUAUUGGAGCCAUCCCUAGCAUUCUGUUGUGUAAGCAUGAUAGGAUUGAUAGGAAAAUUUGGCAUUAUGAGAGGCAAGGGUGCUAUAGUAUGAAAAGUAGGUAUUUCCUAAGCCAAAGAUUUUUAGGGAGGGAAGUUAAUAGGGUAGAGGGUGAUUUUUGGAAUGGAGUUUGGAAUUUAGAUAUCUAUCAAGGAUUACGAAUUUUAUGUAGAUAGGAUUAGGAGGUAUUUUGCCAACAAAAGGUAAAUUAAUUGCUAGAGAAAUGCCAAUAGAUGGGGGCUGUGUUUAUUGUGGAUUUUAUGAAGAUAUAUUAAUCAUGCUUUGUUGGGAUGCUAUAAAGCAAGAAAUGUUUGGAGAUAUUAUGGUUUUGGAGAUCUUAACUUUGAUGUUUCUUUUAAAGGUUCUUUUUCAUAUGUUUGGAGAUCUUUUGCUAAGGGAAGGGUAACUUUGUAGUACUCGCAUGGAAAAUCUGGCAUGCGAGAAACAAGUUGGUAUGGGAACAAAAGGAGCUCUGUGUUGGAGGUAUCUACCAUGCAGCUUGCCAUUUGUGAGUUCCUGAUCAAGCCAUGCAACAUCAAGCUAAUUCUCGUGUUCUGCGCUAUGGCGUUCCUGCUGAGUGAUGGCUGGUGUUGCUUUGUUGAUUGGGCACUCUUUAACCAGUUUGGAAUAUCGAGAUAAUUUGGUGGUGUUGUAGAAGAUUCCGAAGGUUUUUCCAGGCAUGCAAUUCAGGGCGUUUUCAAGGUAUUCCGACAGCUGAGAUGGUUGAAGCCAUGGCUUCGAAAUCAACCCUUUCAUGGUUGGAACAUCAUUUCAUGGGUCCGGGUUUUGUUUUUUUGGAUUCACAAGUUGUAAUUCAUGCUUUAUGUUCCAACUCUUUAUAUUUAUCUGACUUUGUAUGGUUAUCAAGGAUUAGCUAACAGGUCUGAUAUUCUAUUAGGUGGAUUCGAAGGCAAGCAAAUGCGAAGGUUCAUUCUCUUGCAAGAGCUUCGGAUCUCCAAGCUAUUUUUCAAGUUUGUAACUCUGUUCCAAAUGUCUUGUUGAAUUUCUAUCAGUACGUUAGUUCCAAGAUUUUUUCCUCCAGUGAGCCUAAAGGUGUGCGAUUAACAAAGCAUUGGGAUCUAGCUGCUUCAGUUGCUCCCGGUAUUCACAUCCUGGAUUUAUAAUUAUUUCUUAAUAAACAUAUGAUAUAUCUCAAUACACAUUAUACUAAUAAUAUGGUCUCAGCAAAUAAAAAUCAUUAUCUUAAUAAGUAUAAUAUAUUGUGCAUUAUAAAAAAAAAAAUACGGAAACAUAAUUCAAGUAAUAAUAUUUAUUAACAAACAACAAACAACAAAACAUGUUCUCAACACAUUUCAUAAAAGAUUACAAACGAUAAAUAUUAGUUAUCAAAAAAUUUUAUUAACAUAUAAAAAAGUAACUAGAAAAAAGUGUAAUGGAAAAAAAAACAAAAAGAAAAAAAUUUUGGUUCAGAUCUCAUUUCCAAAUCCAUAGUUACCCGAUCUUUAAAUGAUCCAAUUUUAUUCACCCCUUCAAAUUCGAGCAGGUAUUCCAUGGGUUGGAUGAAAUGAGCAUCCCCAGGCUAGAGCACAUAUUUUUGGUCUUGGGCGUCAAACUUGCAGCUUCUUUCUUUUUACUUCCUCAAAUAACUGGUUGUGAAAAGGUACAGCAGAUCCAUUAUAACUACUUUGAUCUCCUCAAAAAAGUACAUAUUACGAACUUGCUCGCUCCAAUAUGGCAAUUAAACACGGAAUUUUUCUGUGAAGAACAGCGUAGCUGAACAUCUUGGAGCAGUCUACAACUUGUUAAUGAUCAUUGCAUGUACUUGAUCUAGGGGACAUAGCUAAAACACC